rnacentral:rRNA from 1 species
CCUACGGGAGGCAGCAGUGGGGGAUAUUGCACAAUGGGCGAAACCCUGAUGCAGCGACGCCGCGUGAGCGAUGACGGCCUUCUGGUCUUUAAACUAUUUCCUCCAGGGAGGUAAUUACGGUACUUGAGGGAGAAGCCCCGGCUCACUAAGUUCCAGCAGCCGCCGUAAUAAGUAGGGGGCUAGCGGUAUCCGGAAUUACUGGGCGUAAAGGGUGCGUAGGUGGUUUCUCAAGUCAGAGGUGAAAGGCUACGGCUCAACCGGAGUAAGCCUUUGAAACUGGGGAACUUGAGUGCAGGAGAGGCGAGUGGAAUUCCUAGUGUAGCGGUGAAAUGCGUAGAUAUUAGGAGGAACACCAGUGGCGAAGGCGGCCUUCUGGACUGUAACUGACACUGAGGCACGAAAGUGUGGGGAGCAAACAGGAUUAGAUACCCGUGUAGUC